rnacentral:rRNA from 1 species
UUAGGAAUUUUGGGCAAUGGGCGCAAGCCUGACCCAGCAACGCCGCGUGGGUGACGAAGGCCUUCGGGUUGUAAAGCCCUUUUCUGAGGGAAGAUGAUGACGGUACCUCAGGAAGAAGCACCGGCUAACUACGUGCCAGCAGCCGCGGUAAUACGUAGGGUGCGAGCGUUGCCCGGAUUUAUUGGGCGUAAAGGGCGCGCAGGCGGCCCGGCGCGUCCGCGGUGAAAGCUCCCGGCUCAACUGGGAGAGGUCCGCGGAAACGGUCGGGCUCGAGCAAGGCAGGGGGUCGUGGAAUUCCCGGUGUAGUGGUGGAAUGCGUAGAGAUCGGGAGGAACACCAGUGGCGAAGGCGGCGACCUGGACCUGUGCUGACGCUGAGGCGCGAAAGCGUGGGGAGCGAUCCG